CGCUCUCUCUCUCUCUCUCUCUCUCUGGUUCUUCUUCUCUCUCAUUCUUCUUCGAUCCAAAACCAAAACCACCCACCCCGGCGCCGCUUACCCCGGCGACCCACACAGGCGCCGCCCACCCCGGAACAAGCCGUCACUUUCCACCACGGACCACGCCGGCAACACCCAUCCGGCACCCUAGAUCACGCACACCCGAGUUCUGGGUCGGAUCCGUGAGUGGAGAAGAACCCCGCGCCUGACCCUCCGCGCCGCCUGAAGCCGACCGUCGUUCCACAUGGACCCUCCGCGCCGCUGGACCCGGCCGAUCUCAUCACCGGAGUCAUCGGAAAACUCAGCACGCCCGGAUCGAAAACGCACCCACCGACGAAGAUCCGGAAACACACCCACCGACGAAGGGCCUCACCGAGGUAGAUACAACCGGAACGACGCCGGCGCAACCGAGACGACGAGAUCCAGACCCCAAAGAUCGCCGGCGACUGCAUCUCGGGAUUUGGAGAGCCGGCUGUCCUUUCCUCGGCCAGAACGGUCGGAUCCCGUUCGGCUGGCCGGAGAACGGCUGAAUCCGGCCCUUCCCCGGCCAGAACGGCCGGAUCCUGGCCGGCUGGCCGGGAUCUGGCACUUUCCCGGCCGGAUUCCGGCCUCGGGGUGGGCAGUUCGAGGGUGGAAAACGGGAAAAAAAAAUAAAAAAAAUCUCACGUGGCAUGCCACGUCAGGUUGUGAGAAGUUGGGUGUGGGAACUUGGUUGUAAGUGUAGCAGCCCUCAUACUGUAAUAUUGGUUGAUCAUGCUUUUCUUCCCCUGUCCCCAGUUACCUUGACUGCCGUACGAAGCCUGUCCGUUUGGCAGACGGUGGUCGGUUGAUGGUUUUUGGAUGAGCGUGUUCAACAAGAAAGCAUUUUUGUAUAUUUGAUUUCCCAUUUAUAUCACUCCCAUCCACACCCUCCGCAACAAAGAAAUCCAGAAACUAGACAGCAAACUGAAGCGCCUUGCCCAAUAAUGCCAGACCCCACCACUCCGAAGAGUCCCACUUCCAGACCAUCAAGCACGUGUACUAGGAGUUCACCAAGGAGGUAAAGGGUGUGAAGAAUAGUGCUUUGAUGGUGGGGAAGUCAUGGGAGAGGCUGGAGACAGCUGGGCUCGGAGAGAUUGCAAGUGAGAGUAGGGAGUGCAGUGGAGAGAAGCUCAAGAGGGAGAAACUGAGGGAACUGAGGGAAAUGUUUGAGGGAAAGCGCGUGGAUUUGCUGUGGGUUUUUUUGGACGAUGAUGUGCUCGUGAAGGAAGAGUGGUUGGAUGGUGAAAAGGGCAACUGGGACCCGGCAAAGCGGCGGCGCAGCGAGGCCGAGGUGGUUCGGUUUCUUGUUGAUAGGCUAUGUGUUCGGGAGAUUUCUAAGAGGGACUGGAAGUUUUCGAGGAUGAUGACACUGAACCCAUCUCGUAUUGGGAACAAAAUUUUGAAAGAACAAAAAAAUUCUCGCCGGAUCUCGACCGAAUAGCUCUCUCUCUCCUCACGCCGUAAACGCUCUCUUUCGCCGGAUCUCGAUGUAAACGUUCUCUCUCGCCGGAUGUGGCCGCAAACCCCUCUCUCUCUCUCAACGGAUCUCGCUGGAGCUCGCUUUCUCUCACCAGAAAAUCUCUCUCUUGCCCGAUUUAUCUCGCCGGAGCCUCACCUCCACAAAGGAGAUCGUUGUGAUGGGGUUGACACUAUCGACGACGGAGCUCCCAAUUCCAGAUCUGGACUCGCCUAAAGCGGUGUGCGUGGGGACAUGAAUCGGCUAGAUCUAGACUCGCCUGGACGUUCUUCUCUCUCUCCAUCUCUCCGGCCGGCCGUUCUUUCACCGGCUGCAUCUCCACCGCGAGCUCCGUUCCCCCAACUCAGCAUAGUUUUGCGAAGUGGAAAGGCAGCACUGGAUUGCUUAGCUCUGAUAUUAGAUUAUGAAAUGUUCCAAAAGUCGGAUGUGACGGAUCUAGAGUUUCUGCCAAAACAACAAUUAACUAUCUAAGGGAGCGCGGCUUUUGAUUUGAGAGUUAAAGGUGUCAGGGUUAAUAACUGAACUUGCGGCCUAGUCGUCAAGGGUUUUUGAGUUUAAAAACAAGCUUGCGACAAUGGAAUUGAAGGUUUCUGUAUUAGAAAGCAUGCUUAAAGAAAUGAGAUAGAAUAAUUGAAUACACUGGCCAUUGGUAUACCUUUCCACUUCGCAAAACUAUGCUUAUUUUGUUAAAAGUGUCUUGUUUUUUUUUAUUUCAAAACAAAUACCAUAGAUAGUUGAUGAUACUUGCUUUCACAAUCGUUGUAAUCACAUGAAUAUAUACAUGUUUUUACAGUUUAUCUCUGGUUAUUUGGAGCAGCUUGUGCCUUGA